CCUUUGAUCAGUCGGUGUUCUUUCUUUCUCUCUCUCUCUCUCUUUUUUUUUUUUCUUUCUUUUUUUUUUUUUUUAACCUCGAAAAUCUGUUUGCACCAUGAGAGCCUGUUGACUUAACAGAAAUUUCUCCAGAAGCUGAAAGAAACUCUGAAAACAAUGUGAAGUGAAACUCCCACCGACUGCAAUGGGCAAUUUUAGAAAUGUUGAUGAAGAAACAGUUUCACCUUCUAUCUGAGGAUGAAGAGUCACAAACUCCCCAAAUUCAGUUCUGGUCACAGAGCUGGUGCUCAGCCUAAGAGAAGAGUUGCCAAUGACUCAACGUGAGUUGAAAAGAUGGAGCUUCAUCAGCUGGAACUACAUCAGUGGAAACAACCUUGCUUUUCCAAAGGUGGUCUGAUGUUCAAACACUAACUCCAAUCCACUGCAUCUUGCAAAACUUCACAAGGUCAUGCUGAGGAGCAGAAAGGCUUUAAAUGAAUCCUGCACAGAAUUUUGUGGAAGUGACCACCAUCUUCAGAAUGUGCACAGAUGCAUAAGAUUGACGGAAGUGAGGCAACCUGUGAUUUGUCCUGGAGGUAUACUGAGAAAAAAAGACAGGAACACUGAACAGAAUUUCUACAGUAGCACUGCCAGCAUUACUUGAAGAUUUAGCAAUAUCAGGGAACUGUAUAAGGGAUGGCAGCUCAUCUUCUUCCGGAAGACAUCUUAAGGUUUGUCCUCAGGGCUCUGGGACCACUUCAGAUUAUCAAUGCAGGGAAGUGUAAGGUUCUGUUUCCACAUAGUGGAAGGGAGGUUGUAGGUUCAGUCUUCUUCCAUUUCCUGUGCAUUAGGCUGUUAGUAUAUGAGGUGUGUGCUUUGACUGAAUGACCACUGGCUAAACACACUUCAUUGUAUUUGGGGGCUUAAACAAGACAAAGAGGCUUUCACAUGUUGGGCCUUGAAUAUCCCCAGAGAAGGAGAUUCCACAACCAUCUGUUGGCUGUGCCACCCAACUUCAGAUAAUAAUAGAGCUAAAGGGAAUCAGGUGUUUGAUCUGACCUAUUAGGUGCUGUCAAACAUGUAGGGCCUGUGCUGACACUCUUAGGGAAUUAUUUCUGUGUUCAGAGUGGAGAAGCCUCUGGAUUAGUGCACUGGUAUAACGUUAUGUUUUUCUGAUGCGAAAAAGGCACCACAGGCACUGGUCUUAUCAUUCAGGCCUAGAGGUAGUCAGGACCUUCACACAGAUCACCUUAUGAGAGGACAAACAUUACCUUGAUUACUUUGUGUUU
rnacentral:lncRNA from 1 species